rnacentral:rRNA from 1 species
GAUGAACGCUGGCGGCGUGCCUAAUACAUGCAAGUCGAGCGAUCAGACGAGGAGCUUGCUCCUCUGACGUUCGCGGCGGACGGGUGAGAAUCAUGUGGGUAACCCACCUAUAAGACUGGGAUAACUUCCGGAAACCGGUACCUAUCCCGGAUAAUCUAUUCAACCUCAUGGUUUAAUAGUGUCAGACGGUUUUGCUUGCACUUAUCGAUGUAUCCACGCGGUAUUAGCUAGUUGGUAAGGUAACGGCUUACCAAGGCGACGAUUGGUAGCCGACGUGAGAGGGUGACCGGCCACACUGGAACUGAGACACGGUCCAGACUCCUACGGGAGGCAGCAGUAGGGAAUCUUCCGCAAUGGGCGAAAGCCUGAUGGAGCAAAGCCGCGUGUGUGAAGAAGGUCUUCGGAUCGUAAAACUCUGUAAGCGGGGAGGAACGAAGUUGUGUUAAUCUCUGCGCUUAUUGACGUUACCUGGACAGAAAGCAACGGCUAACUACGUG